UACGGAGGGAGCUAGCGUUGUUCGGAAUUACUGGGCGUAAAGCGCGCGUAGGCGGCUUUGUAAGUUAGAGGUGAAAGCCCGGGGCUCAACCCCGGAACUGCCUUUAAGACUGCAUCGCUUGAAUCCAGGAGAGGUGAGUGGAAUUCCGAGUGUAGAGGUGAAAUUCGUAGAUAUUCGGAAGAGCACCAGUGGCGAAGGCGGCUCACUGGACUGGUAUUGACGCUGAUGUGCGAAAGCGUGGGGAGCAAACAGG
rnacentral:rRNA from 1 species